rnacentral:rRNA from 1 species
UACGUAGGCAGCGAGCGUUGUUCGGAGUUACUGGGCGUAAAGGGUGUGUAGGCGGUUCUUUAAGUUUGGUGUGAAAUCUCCCGGCUCAACCGGGAGGGUGCGCCGAAUACUGAGGGACUUGGAGUAUGGGAUGGGAAAGUGGAAUUCCUGGUGUAGCGGUGAAAUGCGCAGAUAUCAGGAGGAACACCGAUUGCGAAGGCAGCUCGCUGGGACGUAACUGACGCUGAGACGCGAAAGCGUGGGGAGCAAACAGG